rnacentral:rRNA from 13 species
GACAUCACUCGCAGAAGAAGCACCGGCUAACUCCGUGCCAGCAGCCGCGGUAAUACGGAGGGAGCUAGCGUUGUUCGGAAUUACUGGGCGUAAAGCGCGCGUAGGCGGCUUUUUAAGUCAGGGGUGAAAUCCCGGAGCUCAACUCCGGAACUGCCCUUGAAACUGGGAAGCUAGAAUAUUGGAGAGGUAAGUGGAAUUCCGAGUGUAGAGGUGAAAUUCGUAGAUAUUGGGUAGAACACCGGUGGCGAAGGCGGUCAUCUGGCG